AUGAUCUGUGCAGUCCCGGUCCUGGCAUCAAUUGAACCAAGAACCUCUCCGUGUGGACAUCGAAUAGUUAAAGCUGCUCCGUGGUCUAUCUCCAAGGGGCCGUAAUCAUUCGGCAGAGCAACCAGAAAGAAACGGGACAAUCGGCGAUGCCAGCUCGAGUCAUCUCAGUGUUGCCAAGUGACGAUAAACAUCCCAGAAAACGUGACAGUCCCCUGGGAGCCGAGGGGAUCAUCGAUGAUUCUCCGGUGGAUGUUCCGAGAGAACGAAAGGAAACCUUCUCAGUCAACAAACGGCGGCCAUGUUCGUUUUGCAAGUUUUUUACUACAACGACUCCCGUUCCAAAGCGAAAGAUUCAUUUGAAGUUUGUGCAACCGUAAUUUGAUGCGCGGAUCGCCAAUUCGUAAACUUGGCCCACAGUAUUACCAUUCUCUCGGGAGUGAAGACUGAAGAUCUUUCGUUAUUUUUAAUUAAUUUUAAGAUAAUCCCUUUAUUCUUAUGAAGUAAGGAAGUUUUAUUAAUAAUAAACAUUUGAAUCUCUAA